rnacentral:rRNA from 1 species
GGUAUGCAAGAGAGAUGUGAAAUCCCCGGGAUCAACCUGGGAACUGCAGUAGUGAAUGCAUAGCUAGAGUGCGGCAGAGGGGGAUGGAAUUCCGCGUGUAGCAGUGAAAUGCGUAGAGAUGCGGAGGAACACCGAUGGCGAAGGCAAUCCCCUGGGCCUGCACUGACGCUCAUGCACGAAAGCGUGGGGAGCAAACAGG